CCUACGGGUGGCAGCAGUGAGGAAUAUUGGUCAAUGGUCGGGAGACUGAACCAGCCAAGCCGCGUGAGGGAGGAAGGUACAGAGUAUUGUAAACCUCUUUUGUCAGGGAACAAAGACUGGCACGCGUGCCCGGAUGAGUGUACCUGAAGAAAAAGCAUCGGCUAACUCCGUGCCAGCAGCCGCGGUAAUACGGAGGAUGCGGGCGUUAUCCGGAUUUAUUGGGUUAAAAGGGUGCGCAGGCGGUCUGUUAAGUCAGUGGUCAAAUGGCGGGGCUCAACCCCGGCCCGCCGUUGAAACUGGCAGUCUCGAGUUGGAUAGAGGUAGGCGGAAUUCGUGGUGUAGCGGUGAAAUGCAUAGAUAUCACGCAGAACCCCGAUUGCGAAGGCAGCAUGCCGGCUCCACACUGACGCUGAGGCACGAAAGCGUGGGUAUCGAACAGGAUUAGAUACCCUUGUAGUC
rnacentral:rRNA from 1 species